AUGACCUUACCUGAACAGGAUCUGUUCUAUAGGUUUGUACCUCUGCAUCCUUAAGUUCUAAGGAGUUAGGGGCUGAAGUCUGGUGGGCAAACCGUGACCCUAUGGUUCGGGCGUGAUUAACGACAGUGUGGAUGGUCGUAGGACGAACAGUUUUCGUCCGUCUGGUACGGGUGAGGUGCCCUAUGGUACAAAAA
rnacentral:snoRNA from 2 species